AACGAACGCUGGCGGCAUGCCUAACACAUGCAAGUCGAACGAGACCUUCGGGUCUAGUGGCGCACGGGUGCGUAACGCGUGGGAACCUGCCCUUAGGUUCGGAAUAACUCCCCGACAGGGGUGCUAAUACCGGAUAAUGUCUUCGGACCAAAGAUUUAUCGCCUUUGGAUGGGCCCGCGUUGGAUUAGCUAGUUGGUAGGGUAAAAGCCUACCAAGGCGACGAUCCAUAGCUGGUCUGAGAGGAUGAUCAGCCACACUGGGACUGAGACACGGCCCAGACUCCUACGGGAGGCAGGAGUGGGGAAUAUUGGACAAUGGGCGGAAGCCUGAUGCAGCAAUGCCGCGUGAGUUAUGAAGGCCUUAGGGUUGUAAAGCUCUUUUACCCGGGAUGAUAAUGACAGUACCGGGAGAAUAAGCUCCGGCUAACUCCGUG
rnacentral:rRNA from 1 species